CCUGAUUGCCCCGUAUUAGAUGAACAGUGAGAGCUGUCCUCCCCACGGAUGUCCGGUGUCAGCAGGUCAGGAACUCUCUGGGAGUGCAGAGAUAGGCAGAGCAAGGCUCACCCAACCCUCCAAGUGUGUUGGACCCUUGGCGUGGGCGCUGCCUUUCAGGCCAGCACCUCAAGGGCUGGGCGAAGAGCUGUGACGGUGCACUUCUGGGAGAGCACUCCUGAGGUGCACUUCUGCGGGGUAGGAACUUCUAAGGUGCACUUAAGGAGGAGCACUACUUGGGUGCACCUCCUCCGGAGCACUUCCGGUGAUUCUGAAGCACCUUCUGUUCGCGCAGGCUGGCCGACUAGCCUGAGUUAAGCAGAAUCUGGGAGAGGCUAUGAGGAGGACAGUGCCCAAGAGGUGAAAAGUGGAUGCCUGGUUACAGAUAAAGCCAGUCCUCAUUCCAGUUUUCUUUCCUUCCCCUGGGGUAAGGCCAUCAUAAUUUAUUUCAUAAGAACACUUGGAGGAGUACUAUGAAAGUUCUGGUUCUUUUCCAUUAUUGAUUAUUGAUUAUUACAAGAUGUUGAAUAUAGUUCCCUGUGCUCUACAG